ACGUGUACAGGUAUCUAACAUUUUCAUUUCCUCCAACUGCCCCUCUCACUGACACAACUCUCUCUCCCACUACCAUCCCCGCUUCCCUCAAACUGCCACUCCCACCGACUAUAGUUUCUCCCUCCUUUCGGCCGAAACGGGCAACCUCACCAACAACAGUUUCUCUACCUUACACACAGGCCCCGUGAACAUUUGUGACGCUCGCCGCAACCACGAUUGAGGGAAAGGGCCUCAACGUUAACCUCUACGAUCGAAUCUGUAGCCUGUACAAGAUAUUCGGCACCGAUCUUCUCCACCAACCGAACAUGGAUCCCGCUGAAAGUUAGUCGGGCGCGAGCCGACAACGCUUGUCCAACACCGCUACCGAACCGUAAGGGGAUCUAGCUCGAAAACCUAUGCGCGUUGGAUCCCGGACAUGAAUUGGGCCUUCAUGACUGCCUGCGAAACAACCAUAGUGGAGGGACACUAGAACAGCAGGUGUUUCACAAAACACAGUUGAGAACGUGUGUCCGCCCUCUUCAACUCCGUCAUCGGGCACAGCUGGAGCAAGCAGCAGUUGCGAAACUAUUGGGACGGAAUGCGACGAACCCACAAACAUCUGUCGGAGCUUGUGAACAACAGCGGGGUGGAGUAUGAAGCAGCAACCGACCACAGUGGUGGAGUCGGAAGCUUAAGUCCAUGCUGAUACUAUAACUCCUCAACCCAUGCUUUGCGGAGAAUAAGGGGUACAAAGACUUCAAGGACAAGGACCUGAGCGAGAUCUACAUUCGCUGCUGUUAGCUACUCGGAGACAGCUACGAUGGAGACAAGUACAUCGUCACUCCCACUAAAUUAUGCAAAAUGGGAUUCAACCUGUACGAGUGUGCUAGAAGACAACAGUGAUGCUAUUUUGAUCGACGUCGAGAGCAGUGGCUCGAGGGACGAGGCCAAACAAACAAAUGCUAGGGUACACAAGCAGUAGUAAACGAAAAUCUUCAGACGGACAACGAAGAGGCUGGAAAAAAAAAGUCUGCCCGUGAACUAUUUUUCUUAGUUGACCGUGCCAUGAGUGCCGCGGAGGAAGUGGCAGCGAAGAUUAACAUGAUACUGGCCACAAGCAAAAGUGCUGGCGUUUCCUUUAUUGAAGAGCUGUUGGAGACAUGAUGGCUCGAAUGGAGAACUCCCAUGUACUUUUUUGCCUGCGCACUUCUUGCACAGAAGUGUUACCGGGACAUGUUGGCUGUCAUGAAGGACGUGGAUGAGAAAUUUGAGUGGAUCGAGUGAAUAUUUAACAAUCGAGGAAAGUAAUUAUGCUGGUUGUUUAUUUUUUCUGUUCUAUUAAGUAAUGGUGAAAACUGUCUUCUUUUUUCUGUACUAUCGUCUCAGCAUUGUAAUUUAUGUGUUUUACUUUUUUCCAUGGUAGUCUAAACGUACUCAA